AGUGGGAUAGCUGGGUAAGAUGGUGGUUAGAUUCCACAUUUUCUAAGGAAGCACCAUACUGCUUUCCAGAUUGGUUGCACCAAUUUGCAGUCCCACCAGCAGU
rnacentral:pre_miRNA from 1 species